CCCGCCCCUAGAGGCAGUGCAGGUGUGGCUGCUGUGCCACAUGUGCAUCAGUAGGUGGCAGAGAGGAGAAAGGCUAUGUCUGGUCAUCUGACCUGUGACCAGAAAUGAUUAUGGACGGGCUAAUAUG
rnacentral:snoRNA from 1 species